GCCGGUGUGGCGGAAUGGUAGACGCAGCGGAUUCAAAAUCCGCCGCCCACAAGGCGUGGGGGUUCGAGUCCCCCCACCGGCACCA
rnacentral:tRNA from 2 species